rnacentral:rRNA from 1 species
AGCGAACGCUGGCGGCGUGCUUAACACAUGCAAGUCGAACGGUAAGGCCCCUUCGGGGGUACACGAGUGGCGAACGGGUGAGUAACACGUGGGCAAUCUGCCCCUCACACCGGGAUAACUCGGGGAAACCCGAGCUAAUACCGGAUACUUCGUCGAGGUCGCAUGGCCAUGACGAGAAAGCUCCGACGGUGAGGGAUGAGCCCGCGGCCCAUUAGCUUGUUGGUGAGGUAACGGCUCACCAAGGCGACGAUGGGUAGCCGAGCUGAGAGGCUGAUCGGCCACACUGGGACUGAGACACGGCCCAGACUCCUACGGGAGGCAGCAGUGGGGAAUCUUGCGCAAUGGGCGAAAGCCUGACGCAGCAACGCCGCGUGCGGGAUGAAGGCUCUCGGGUCGUAAACCGCUUUCAGCAGGGAUGAAACUGACAGUACCUGCAGAAGAAGCCCCGGCUAAAUACGUGCCAGCAGCCGCCGUAACAC